rnacentral:rRNA from 1 species
AGUCGAACGGAAAGGCCCCUUCGGGGGUACUCGAGUGGCGAACGGGUGAGUAACACGUGGGUAAUCUGCCCUGCACUUCGGGAUAAGCCUGGGAAACUGGGUCUAAUACCGGAUAGGACCCCGAGGCGCAUGCCUUGGGGUGGAAAGCUUUUGCGGUGUGGGAUGGGCCCGCG